rnacentral:rRNA from 1 species
UACGAGGGGGGCAAGCGUUGUCCGGAAUUAUUGGGCGUAAAGAGCUCGUAGGCGGCCUGUUGCGUCUGCUGUGAAAUCCCGGGGCUUAACCCCGGGCGUGCAGUGUAUACGGGCAGGUUGGAGGCAGGCAGGGGAGAAUGGAAUUCCCGGUGUAGCGGUGAAAUGCGCAGAUAUCGGGAGGAACACCGGUGGCGAAGGCGGUUCUCUGGGCCUGUACUGACGCUGAGGAGCGAAAGCGUGGGGAGCGAACAGG